AAAAGAAAAUAAUCUAAAAUCACAUCAAUUAAACCGAAAUUUCAGAUCCUAAAUCACAAUUUGCUCUCACUUAUCCAAAACAUCGUCCAAAAUCGAGCCUACUCUGUUGGAGCGUUUAGAUUCUCACACCUUUCGCCUAAUCGAGAACCACAAAAAUGCUAAUUACAAAAACAAAAAAGAAAAUAUACCAACACAAACCCAACUUAUUCAAGAAACUAACUAAAACUAAAAUAAUAAUAGAAAGACAGCAAAAGUAACCAAAUGAAACUUACACUGCGAACGGAAUACAAUCCAAGAGUCAAAACGCUCAAAAAUCGAUAGUAUUUAAGAAUGAUCAAAGC
rnacentral:lncRNA from 1 species